CUUCAUCCCAGCUCCACAAGCUGAUCCAGGUGCAGAAAACAUGAUGGCAUACACCACAUCCCAACUGCCCUGCUUUCUCUGCCACUCCUCAAGGCUCAGGCUCUGAAGUGAGGCUGUCAGCUCCCAGACAAAGUCAGACUGUGGCUGAGAUUACUGGAAGUGGCUGUGAUGCUCAUCAGCAGAUGAUAGAGACGGGCUUCCUGGAACUGCCACUAACCUCCUGUAGACCAGGCUCCAUGUCCCAGCAGGUCCCAGCCCAGGCCCAACCUACAGCCAUAACCAUGGAAGGCAGGUGGCCUUAGGUGCUGACAGCUGCUUUGGUCUCCAUGGAAGCAGAAGCCCCGCUGGAAGUACCUGCAGACCUGGGGCACCUUUCUGUCAUAAGCAUGGCAACUUGACCCCCAGUGAUCAUCCCUGAAUGGCAGCUGGGAACGGGGCUUGCUCUCCCUACCAUGACUGUAGUCAUCCUACCCUGCAGCAUCCAUCCCAGCUGCAGGUCCCUGUGAGCCUCCAUUCGUUUUCAAACACCCAUUGAUCAGUUUGCAUUUU
rnacentral:lncRNA from 1 species